AUUUGAUGAUGCAGACAUUGUAUCUGCAACUCCCCAAAUCUUUCCCAAGCUUCGAAGAAUUCCACCGUAUGCUUCUGUCUGAAAGUCUGGAUCUUGUUUCUCAACUC